rnacentral:rRNA from 1 species
GGAGUUUGGACCGUGUCUCAGUUCCAAUGUGGGGGGCCUUCCUCUCAGGACCCCUACUGAUCGAUGGCUAGGUGGGCCGUUACCCCGCCUGCAACCUAAUCAGACGCAUCCCCAUCCCAUAGCGAUGAAUCUUUCGUCCAGGUCAGAUGUCCUCUCUGGACAGCAUAGGGAAUUAAUCCGACUUUCGCCGGGCUGUGCCCUACUAUGGGGAAGGUUGGAUACGCGUUACUCACCCGUGCGCCGGUCGCCAUCAAAGGAAGCAAGCUUCCUUCAUGCUGCCCCUCGACUUGCAUGUGUUAAGCCUGUAGCUAGCGUUCAUC